UCUCCCACCUUUCCUGUCUAUCCACUGUCACUACACAAUAAAGGGAAAAGCCCCAAAAAAUAAUCUUUAAAAAAGAAAAAGAAGCAGCAGGAGAACAAAGAGAGACUGGUUCACACUGAAACUGCUGACUAACUGUAUUUGAUCAUCAUUUAUUUUACCAACUGGACUAUUAGUAACUGAAUCAGAUGAAGAAUAAUACUUGAUGUUAUUUGAUAUAUUGGACUGUUGAUCUCUGGUUUAAUAUUAAAUCUCACUCACUGUUGGUCUCUUGGACUGAGACUGAAUUCUGUUAUUGAGGCUACUUGAAAACCCAAAAACAGCAGCU